UUUUUAUUGGACAAAAAAGAUAAAACCUUUAAACUUAUUUUCAGCUAAAAGAAAUCCUCACCUCAAGUUUUCAUUUCCCUCUAACUUCAGCUACGUUUCCAUUCCUCUCAAACUUCAGUGAAGUAUGAUUUUCAGCUUAGGAGAUGAAGAUAUUGGCUUUCUCUCAAGAAGAACUAAUGAACACGUACGAUUUCCCUCAAAAUUUUCGGUCAAACUUUAGCUGAAUAACAUCAGUUUCAGCAGAAGAAUUGAAGAACAAUAUGAUUUUACUCAAGAAGAACUGAAGAACACGAUUUUCCUCUCCCAGAUUCCUUGUUGAAGAUUGAAGAGAUGAGGAACACGAUUUCCUCACAGAUUCCUUGUUGAAGAGUUGUUCCAUUAGAUUUCUUGUUGAAAGUUUAACAAAAUGCUUCAAAGAUGAACUUUCCUCACGUCAUAAAUCUUAUGGGUUGUUGGAAUGGAGUUUAUAAGUCUAGGUUUUUUUUCUCUUGAAUGUUUACUGUUCCAGCUGAAGCUAAGUACUCUUUUUCUGAAGUACUGAGCUGAAGCUAAGUCGUCUUCCCCGAAAAACAGAAGAGGUGAAGCUGGAGAUAACUAUGGUUCUCUUCUCCCUAAUACAGAUUUCGUGAAGCAGAUGGGGCUGAAGCUGAGCCAAAUGGUCCUGGUGUUGCAGGGGGUUCUCUGAGAGUUAUUUUCCUUGAAGGAACUGUACAAUGGACUGUGUUUUGGACAGCUUAUUAUUGGUUCGAAGAGUUUGCGGACGCUAAAGCUUUUCUGUUUUUUGGGAGAUUGGGAUAAGAUUCUGGAAUUGAAUGCUGAACAAGUCAGUGAAGUUGUUAAAAUUCAUCUUGAGAGGCUUUAGGUCAAUGAUAUUGGUCUUGCUUCUAUUUCUAGUGUGAUCUUGAGAUAAACAUUGAAUUAAAGGUAAAAGAAGAGAAGAUGUGGAAAGAAGAUCUAUGAACUUGUUAUUGAACAUUAAGUCUCUGAGUCCAAGUUCCAUUUUAUCAGACUGCUUAGAGGAAAAAAUCACUCUCAUUCGUUUUCCAUCAUUUAUUGGAAUUCAAACUCUGGUAGAUAGGGUGGUCGGAUCAGUUUUGUGGUUUCAUGAAGGUUGUUGUUGAUAAUGGCAAAUGGGGUGACUACUGUUGUAGUGUGUGAGUAGGAUUAAUUAGCAUUGAUUUUGGUGGUAGAGCCCUUAAAACAUUGAUAUAUUUAAAGUAUGUUUUCCUUGAAACAUAACGUCCUCAGAAACUUCGAACAUUAACUGUGAACAACAUUAAUAACUUGAAAAUAUGAAGUAUCAAAAAGGAUGAAACAUAUUGUGAGGCUCA